GAUGAACGCUGGCGGUAUGCCUAACACAUGCAAGUCGUACGAGAGUUUUUAACUCUAGUGGCGGACGGGUGAGUAACACGUGAGAAUUUGCCUUUAGGAGGGGGAUAACAAUUGGAAACGAAUGCUAAUACCCCAUAUGCUUUUGAGUGAAAUGGAUUUUAUCCCGCCUAGAGAGAAGCUCGCGGCUGAUUAGCUUGUUGGUGGGGUAAAAAGCCCACCAAGGCGACGAUCAGUAGCUGGUCUGAGAGGAUGAUCAGCCACACUGGGACUGAGACACGGCCCAGACUCCUAGGGAGGCAGCAGUGAGGAAUUUUUCCACAAUGGGGCGAAAAGCCUGAUGG
rnacentral:rRNA from 1 species